CCGCCCCGCGGCCCGGGGGGCGCUGCGAUUGGCCGGCUGCGGGGGCGAGGGCGACAGGGUGGGCGAGGCCAAACCGCGACCUUGGAGUCGCGUCGCCGCGGGCGCGCCCUGUACCCUUAGGCUCCAGGGCAACUUUGGGGCUGUAGGUUUGGAAGAAGCCGGCUGGCACCCUCAGCAGGAUGCUCCCCCGCCUGAAGACCUGGGUUCCAGGAACCCAUCCACCACGGCAAGAAGAAGUCCUGGAUACUCAUUAAAAUGAGUGGUGUCUUGUUGCCCUUGGCCAUGAGCUCCCAGCUGGCCGCCAGCACCAGCUUGCCAGCCAUGCAGUGAUACAUCCUGAAGGUGGAUUCCGCAGUCCCAGUGAAGCUACUCCAACUGACACACCGAGGAACAGACAUGGACCUUCUCUGCUGAUUGCUGAUUGAGCUCAAAGCUGGUCAGUUGAGUGGAAAACGAGUGCUGCUGACAACAUCAGCAUAAACUGAGCAGACCAAAGUAACACCACAGAGGCUCUGAAAAUUAAACUGCCAUUGAAACCACAACCCACAAAGUCACCCAAGACUGUCUAUGACACCUAAAUGGAUGACUGCCUGUUAAAAUGGAAGAUUUCGAUGGGACCCAGAGUUCUAUCAUAAUAGACAAAAUGAAAUAAAUGGGAAAAAAAUGAAAACAAAUAGGCGAAAUGUCCACAUUACAGCUUGAAAUCAUGUCAUCCCGGUUCAGUUCAGUUCAGUUCAGUUGCUCAGUCGUGUCUGACUCUUUGCGACCCCGUGGA